AGAGUCGGCCAGACAGUCGCUGUGCGCGAUGCGCAUGGAGGAAAGUCCGGGCUCCGACGGGCAAGGUGCCAGGUAACACCUGGGGGGCGUGAGCCCACGGAAAGUGCAACAGAAAGAUACCGCCGAAGCGCCGCAAGGCGCUGGCAAGGGUGAAAUGGUGCGGUAAGAGCGCACCGCGCCCUCGGCAACGAGGGUGGCACGGCAAACCCCACCUGGAGCAAGGCCAAAUAGGGAAGCUAGCGGUGCCUGCGGCCGCGACCUGUGGCCCACAGGCGCUUCCGGGUAGGCUGCUCGAGGUGCGCGGCGACGCGCAUCCCAGAGGAAUGACUGUCCACGACAGAACCCGGCUUACCGGCCGACUCUCUGA
rnacentral:RNase_P_RNA from 1 species